rnacentral:piRNA from 1 species
UCCAUGACACAUAUUACCGGCUCCAUUUGC